GACGAACGCUGGCGGCGUGCCUAAUACAUGCAAGUAGGACGCUGAAGGAGGAGCUUGCUUCUCUGGAUGAGUUGCGAACGGGUGAGUAACGCGUAGGUAACCUGCCUGGUAGCGGGGGAUAACUAUUGGAAACGAUAGCUAAUACCGCAUAAGAUUGACUAUUGCAUGAUAGUCAGUUAAAAGGUGCAAUUGCAUCACUACCAGAUGGACCUGCGUUGUAUUAGCUAGUUGGUGGGGUAACGGCUCACCAAGGCGACGAUACAUAGCCGACCUGAGAGGGUGAUCGGCCACACUGGGACUGAGACACGGCCCAGACUCCUACGGGAGGCAGCAGUAGGGAAUCUUCGGCAAUGGACGGAAGUCUGACCGAGCAACGCCGCGGGAGUGAAGAAGGUUUUCGGAUCGUAAAGCUCUGUUGUAAGAGAAGAACGAGUGUGAGAGUGGAAAGUUCACACUGUGACGGUAUCUUACCAGAAAGGGACGGCUAACUACGUG
rnacentral:rRNA from 1 species